rnacentral:lncRNA from 10 species
GACCUGAGAUCAUGCCACAACACUUCAGCCGGGGAGACAGCGUGAGACCCUGAAAAAAAAAAAAAGAGAAAGAGAGAAAGAAAAGAAAAGAAAGAAGGAAGAAAUGAAGGAAGGAAAGAAGGAAGGAAGGAAGAAGGAAGGAAAGAAGGAAGGAAGGAAGGAAGGAAGGAAGGAAGGAAGGAAGGAAGGAAGGAAGGAAGGAAGGAAGGAAAAACAGAAACAAAAACAAAAAACAAAAAAAAAAAAAAACAAAAAAAACCCUUCCAUACCAAGAUAAGAGACUCACAGGCAGCAUAAAUGACUGAGAGCUCCAACUCCUAACGUUUUAUUUAUUUAUUUUAUUUUAUUUAUUUAUUUAUUUAUUUUCCUGAGGGACAUAAGGCAGAAAACAGACACCAAGGCAUGUUUCAGAGCAGGAGUGGAAGUUUAUUUUAAAAGGCUUUAAAACAGGAAAAAAAGCAAAGUACACUUGGAAGGAACCCAAGCAGGCGACUUGAAGAACAAGUGCCCCCAACUCCUAAGACUUGAAAUUCAUCUCAGCAUUCACACUGAAUUGACAGCUCCCCAAGGCUGCUCCUCACAGUGACUAAAUGUUGCCGGGAUUCUAAGGAAGACCUGCUCCUGGGAAACAAAGGACUCUCUUGUUGAUGGACUUUGGCUCAUUGACACCCUGCAGCUUUGUAGAACCUUCCUCAGAUUAAUCCAGGACAUUUCCGCCUAUCUUCUUCUCUCCACUAAGUCAGACAUGCAACAAACCAGUUCUGACAAUUCUCCACCUUCCCUGGUUUCUUCUCUUUUUCCUGUCACAGAGGAAAUUCUCUACUUCACCUCUCCCUGGGCUCAGAGAGCAGACAGGGAAGAGACUGCCAAUGAAUUUAUCCUUGCAGAGGUGCCAGGCAACAUCCACCAGACCUGUCUAUGUCUACAAGCAGGAUGAGGAACUCAAUGGUCAACAAGAGACUCCAGGCCAGAGAAGGAGACUCAGCAGGGUAUGAAGGCAAUGGGCUCAGAGCUUCUGGGAGACACCCUCUGUGACCUCCAGGACUAGCUGGGGAAACCAAGAGGCCAGAAAGACUGAUCCACUGUCUCCAGACCUCAGAGCUGGCCACUGACUUGAAUCCAGCUCCCAACUCUCUGCUUAGGCUCAGAACCACCCUGCUCUGAGACUUCCUAACUGCCUUGUCUCCAACUGAUUGGGAACAGGGCAGAAAAGGGGAUGAACCACUUGGCAGGGCUGUCACCCUCCCAAGGCUCAUAGCUGCACCCUGGAAAGUCUUCCAACCACUUCUGCCUUCUAGUUACCAAAGAAAAAAAUACUGAUUGUAAACAUCACUUUAAAAGCAUGCCAUCCGACAGCCGGCUCAGCUGCAAUACAUCAGCCUGAAUUGUACUCAUUUAUGGUGAAGCAUUUUAUAUUAAUGUUUUCAUUGCUUAUCACAGACACUGGCUUUAAAGUGCUUAAGCCAGCUGUACUGAGUUAUUUAUUAGGCUUUUCUUUUUUCCAAGUUGCCUUUUCCUUAAAUAAAGUAUUUGUUUUACUUUCAUACAUUUAAGAAUCUCUCUUGUCUCCUGCCCAUCAGUUCUGAUGGCUUGUGUGCAUACGCUGUUUGUUUCUCUAGAAUUUACUCAGUGCCUCUGGAAGUCAGGUGAACUGGAGCCAGCAAUGCCCACGGAAGGAAAAGGUAUAGUGAGGCAGAGAGUUCAGUCUCUGCAGGACCAUCUAGCUUCCCUUCCUCUGUCUUCCUUCAUCCUACAAGUUAGAUUCCACCUCCACUAUAAUAUUGAAGAUCUUCAAUGAUUGCCCAAAGUCAACUGAUUUGACAAUUGGGAUACAGUCAAUGCUGCUAAUCAUCUCCCCUUCCAUGGCUCUCCUCUUGCCAUUAUGACUACUCCUGUGUCCCCAUCAUUAACUCUACCUUCUUCUUCAUUCCUAAGUAUGGGUGGCCUAAGGGUCAGGCCUCAGGCCUGUCUCCUUCAGAACUAGCACCCUACAUAAAGUGAAGUCCUCUAAAUAGUGAGACACCCCCUUUCCUUUACCCACAGGGCUCCCAGAAAGCUGACAGCAAGACAGAAACCUGGACGGUUGCUAUCUAGAGAGUCAAACUUUCUAAUCUUGUGACUUUAGAGUUGGCUAACAAAAUUCCAGGACCCAAUCACUCCACACUGAAGCCCAUCAGUCAACAAAGUCUAACAGUAACGAUAGAAUUCCAGUCAGCAACGUGGUUCUUCAUUCUGAAAUACAAACAGAUAGCCAAGCACCAGCUGACACUUAAGAAGAGCUCUAACAAAAAAAAAAAAAAAAGAACAAAAAUUGGAAAUAGGGCCUUGUAAGAAACAAAAGUAAAGCAAGCAGAAAAGAAAUUCUUUAAAAAAAAAAAACUGUAAAUAUCUUCAGAAAAAAAAAAGAUAGGUAUCCAUGCAAUAAGAACAGAAAGUUAUUAUAAAAUAAUUAGAAAAAUUUAAAAAAGAAUAUGUGGGAAUUAAAUAUGGAAUACCCAUAAUACAAAAAUAAAUAGAUUCCAGAUGAUAAAUAUAAGCAAUCUCUAGAAGAUAAUAUAAUCAAUAAAUAUUAUUGGAACUAGACAAAGGAUAACAUGAUGGAAUGCAGGAAAGAAAAAUUAAAGCAUCUAUCAAGUAGGUUCAAUAGUCUCUUAAAAGAAAUUUUAAUGAGAGAUCUGAGAGAAAACAAGGGAGGCAAUUACAAAGAAAAAAUUCCAAAAAGAUUUCCAGAACUGAAGGGCAUGAAAUUCCAGAUUUAAAGAGUCCAUCAAAAGAUCAAACAUAAUGAAUGAAUAAAAGAGACAAACCUAGAUAUACCACUGUGAAAUUUCAACACACCAGGGAUAAAGAGUAGAAAUAAAUACUUUCAGAGAAAGGUGCAAAAGAGAUCAUGUAACAAGAGUAGAAGUCAAGGAGGCAUGAGACUUCUGAGUAGGAACACUGGAAGCUAGAACACAAUGGAACAAUGCCUUUAGAAUCCUGUGGAAAAAGCACCUUCAUCUUCAAAUUCUAUAUCUAGCCAAAUGGUAAAUGAAAUGUGAAGAGCAAAUAAAGACAUAUUCAGAUACGCAAGGGUUUUAAAAUUUUACCCUCAUGCAUGUUUUUAUGAGAACUGGAAAAGGCUCUUUACCAAAGCAAGAGAGCAAAGCAAAGAGGAUAUGACAUCCAGGAAUGAGGUGAUCCGAGGAGCUUGGGGAGACCAAGGCAGCAGGCCCAGAGACAGCCAGUCCAAAUCAAAUAGGCAGGAGGUUGGGGCCCAAGGAAAAGCGGUUCCAAGAAAACAAACAAACAAACAAAAAAACACUGUUCAGUCACCCAGUGGGUUUGACUCUAUUAGGAGAUCUUGGUACCUCUGCCAGAGAUUUUGGGAAAGAAUCAGUGAUAGGUACAUAGAAAACUAGGCAAAUUGUUAAAUUGGACAAUUAUUAGCUCACGGAAAAACCAACAAUUGUUUAAAAAGGAAAAUCAU